rnacentral:lncRNA from 1 species
AUGCCCGCCCCGGCCCCCAGGUGUGCAGGUGCACCCCACACUGGGCGCAGGGUGGGGAGCGGGGAGCGGCCUGAGCGGCACAGGAGCGGCGGCCCGGGCCGGGGUCCCUGCACGCGACCCCGGCCACCUGCGGGGGUGGGGGUGGCGCGGGGCGGAGGGCGCCCUACCUGGCCGGAGGGACGCCCGCUCCUCCUCUCCCCGCGGCUCCUCGGGGCCGGAACCGGAACCGCGGCUGCGUCCCUCCCCAGCGGGUCCUCCGGGAGCGGCGGCGGCGGAGGCGGCAGUUCCGGCGGCGGUUCGGGCCCCCGGCUCCCCCGCCCCGCCCCGCCCCGCCCCGCCCCGCGCUCGUGCCCUGCGGCCGCGCAGCCUGCGGGCCCGGAGCCCGACCGUCCCGGACAGGCAGCCGGACCCGAGACCGGUGGGCCCGUGGCGCUGGAGAGAGCGGCCCCGGAGCGGGGGGGAAGCGACCGGCAGAGAAGCUGCAGGGCCGCGGCGGGCUUCUGCUGGGGCGGGGCGGGGGCGCCUGGGGCGGGGCGGGCGCCGGCCCACGGGAGGGGCAGCUUCGCUGUUCUGCAGGGAACGUGGGACUCUAGAAUUCUUAGGCCGAGUCCUAGGCGCCCCCACCCUGAGACGCUACCAGCAGGCCGACCCCAGGAGGUGCCUGGUCACGGGGACCCCCCUGCCUCGACAGCAGAGGCCCCGGGGCCCCUUGCCCUUCGGGGGCACACACAGACCUUGAACCGGGAAGCGGGUCCUCAGCGGAGUCCGCUGGUGCCCUGGUCUCCAGCUUCCAUCUGGGGGACUGUCCGCAGCAGCGGUCGGGGCUCCCCACCUCGCCUCUGUGCCCGGUCGGGCAGACUCACCCUUCCUUUCCCCGACACGUCCAGUCCUGCUUGGUUCUCCUUCGAACCCCUCUGGGGCCGGGCAGGCCUGACUUCACUCCCGGGCACUGAGGCGGCAAUAGAUGGGCCCAGGGGAAUUCUGAGUCCCGUCCCCACUGCCCCCCGGGGAACCUCCACCUGA